rnacentral:rRNA from 1 species
CAGUCGCCGCGGGAAUACAGAGGGUGCGAGCGUUAAUCGGAUUUACUGGGCGUAAAGCGUGCGUAGGCGGCUUCUUAAGUCGGAUGUGAAAUCACUGAGCUUAACUUAGGAAUUGCAUUCGAUACUGGGAAGCUAGAGUAUGGGAGAGGAUGGUAGAAUUCCAGGUGUAGCGGUGAAAUGCGUAGAGAUCUGGAGGAAUACCGAUGGCGAAGGCAGCCAUCUGGCCUAAUACUGACGCUGAGGUACGAAAGCAUGGGGAGCAAACAGGAUUAGAUACCCCCGUAGUCCCUGUCUCUUAUAC